rnacentral:lncRNA from 1 species
CCCAAUCCCAGACCAUCUCUUUUUGGGGUGGGACCCCCCAAAUCCCAGACCAUCACUUUUUGGGGUGGGGACCCCCCAAUCCCAGCUCUUUUUGGGGUGGGGACCCCCCAAUUCCAGCUCUUUUAGGGUGGGGACCCCCCAGUUUCAGUCCCAGCUCUUUUUGGGGUGAGGACCCCCAAAUCCCAAUCCUAGCUCAUUUAGGGGUGGGGACCCCAAUCCCAUCACUUUUUAGGGUGGGGACCCCCCAGUUUCAGCUCUUUUUGGGGUGGGACCCCCCAAUCCCAGCUCUUUUAGGGAUGGGGACCCCCCAGUUUCAGUCCCAGUUCUUUUUGGGGUGGGGACCCCCCCAAUCCNUGGAUUUUUCUCAGAUUUCCUCCACUCCAUGAGGGAAAAAACACAAGUCCAGAAAACCUCUGCCAUCCCAAAAUGGAUUUUUUUCCAGAUCUCCUCCAUGAGCAGAAAUCACAACCCCAAAAUCCCAAAUCCAGAAAACCCCCAUUGUCCCAAAUUGGAUUUUUCUCAGAUCUCCUCCACUCCAUGAGGGAAAAAUCCAAGUCCAGGAAACCCCCAGUGUCCCAUGUUGGAUUUUUGGAUCUUUUGUGGAUGUUGGAUUUUUUUGGAUCUCCACUCCAUGACCAAUAAUCAAAACCCCAAAAUCCCAAAUCCAGAAAACUCCCAUUGUCCUAAAUUGGAUUUUUUUCAGAUCUCCUCCAUGAGCAAAAAUCACAACCCCAAAAAGCAAAUCCAGAAAACCCCCAUUGUCCCAAGGUGAAUUUUUCUCAGAUCUCCUCCAUGGCAUGAAUGAAAAUCAUGAACCCCAAAAUCCCAACUCCAGAAAACCCCCAUUGUCCUAAAUUGGAUUUUUCUCAGAUCUCCUCCACUCCAUGAGGGAAAAACCCAAGUCCAGCAAACCCCUGUUAUCUCCAAACUGCAUUUUUUUUGGGUCUCCUCCAUGAGCAAAAAUCACAACCCCAAAAAGCAAAUCCAGGAAACCCCUAUUGUCCCAAGGUGAAUUUUUUUCAGAUCUCCUCCAUGGCAUGAAUGAAAAUCAUGAACCCCAAAAACCCAACUCCAGAAAACUCCCACUGUCCCAAAUUGGAUUUUUCUCAGAUCUCCUCCACUCCAUGAGGGAAAAACCCAAGUCCAGGAAACCCCUGUUAUCUCCAAAUUGGAUUUUUUUUGGGUCUCCUCCAUGAGCAGAAAUCACAACCCCAAAAUCCCAACUCCAGAAAACUCCCAUUGUCCUAAAUUGGAUUUUUCUCAGAUCUCCUCCACUCCAUGAGGGAAAAACCCAAGUCCAGCAAACCCCUGUUAUCUCCAAAUU